GAUGAACGCUGGCGGCGUGCCUAAUACAUGCAAGUCGAGCGAAUGGACGAGAAGCUUGCUUCUCUGAUGUUAGCGGCGGACGGGUGAGUAACACGUGGAUAACCUACCUAUAAGACUGGGAUAACUUCGGGAAACCGGAGCUAAUACCGGAUAAUAUUUUGAACCGCAUGGUUCAAAAGUGAAAGACGGUCUUGCUGUCACUUAUAGAUGGAUCCGCGCUGCAUUAGCUAGUUGGUAAGGUAACGGCUUACCAAGGCAACGAUGCAUAGCCGACCUGAGAGGGUGAUCGGCCACACUGCAACUGGGACACGGUCCACACUCCUACGAGAGGCAGCAGUAGGGAAUCUUCCGCAAUGGGCGUAAGCCUGACGGAGCAACGCCGCGUGAGUGAUGAAGGUCUUCGGAUCGUAAAACUCUGUUAUUAGGUAAGAACGUAUGUGUAAGUAACUGUGCACAUCUUGACGGUACCUAAUCAGAAAGCCACGGCUAACUACGUG
rnacentral:rRNA from 1 species